rnacentral:misc_RNA from 1 species
GUUCCCUUCACCCUUCAACUGUAAAAUAUGUAAUCGGCCGGCACAUGGUCAUCAUUGUGACGUGGCAACUUGUAAGGGCUGCAAAACGUUUUUCCGUCGGAUGUAUUUAUUGAAAUCUGAGCUACGGUGCUAUAUAAAUAGUGACUGUUUUGAUUUAGACAAGAGAACUGAACCACUUCUUCGUUGUCGAGCUUGCCGCUUCAAAAAAUGUCUUUUAGUUGGAAUGAACCCAAAUGCUUUAAAUUUUCGAACAACUAAAAACUUGACUCAAAGCUUAAAAAACUCCAAAGAAGAGAAAAUUAAAGAUACUAUCGGCUUAUAACCCAAAUUGGACCGAAAUUGGAGGACUGGAAGAUUUGUUACGUUGCUCCAGCAAACUGAGCCUUUCUAAUAAAUUUGGGCCUUUCCCUGGAUGGCCUUACCACCCAAAUCAUAUUUUUGCUAGCUCAAAUUUGGAUUAUAAUUUCAAAACUUAUUCACCUCAUAGAAAACAGUGGAGAUUUUUCAAUUUGCUCACAUCAAUCGAAUUCUUGAAAACCUUCCCAUUUUUUCUAAAACUUGACACAAAGGACCAGUUGAUCUUGAUGAGGCAUGUUGUAGUUGGUUGUUCAAAUUUACAUUCUGCAUAUUACACAUUGAAAAAUAAAUAUGAAGAUCUUCGCCAACCGGAUGGCACUCAACGACCCAAAAAAUCUGAACCCCAGUAUUCUACAUUUGCAAUGGUGUUUUAUGCUCUGAUGAGAGUUGGAGUUCACUACAUUGAAUACUUAUUGCUCAAAAUGAUAUUCAUCUGUAAUCCAGCGAUUCCCAAUCUGUCAAGCAACGCUCAAUACAAACUAGAAAAAGGUCGAAGUUUUUACUCUGAAAUGUUGCUGGUUUACUGUCUUCAAAGUUUGAAUUCCAGCGGCCCAACUCGAUAUGUAGAUCUGAUUGGAGUUAUUGCUACUCUGGAAAAGCAGCAGAAACUACUGAAAGAUCUUCAUGUUUGUCUCCUUGCUCCAAUGUUGUCAAUUCUUCCAAAAGAAUUCAGCAGGAGUUUGAUGUAUGAAAUGAUUUUUAGUUAA